rnacentral:rRNA from 1 species
AUCUACAGCCAUGCUACCCUGAACAAGCCCGAUCCAGUCUGAUCUUGGAAGCUAAACAGGGUUGGGCCUGGUUAGUACUUGGAUGGGAGACCACCUAGGAAGACCAGGUGCUGUAGGUA